rnacentral:rRNA from 1 species
UGCGUAGGCGGAAUUUUAAGUCAGUGGUGAAAUCCUGCAGCUCAACUGUAGAACUGCCAUUGAUACUGAUCUUCUUGAACUUAGUUGAGGUGGGCGGAACGUGUAAUGUAGCGGUGAAAUGCUUAGAUAUUACACAGAACACCGAUUGCGAAGGCAGCUCACUAAACUAACAUUGACGCUGAGGCACGAAAGCGUGGGUAGCGAACAGGAUUAGAUACCCUGGUAGUCC